UCUUCUAAACCCUAAGGAUAGUUCUCAGUCAAGAACCCCUCAUUUGACAAUUCAUAUUUCUUGUUCCAAACCCUAAAUUCAACUUCACCUCCUCAUCACCAAAUCAAACCCUAAAAUUAAAGGUCCUCACUCACAAGCACACCAUGAAUCUUCAUCUCUUCUCAUCUCUGGGUCGCAACUUAGUUGAAGAUUUUGGAUUUUGGGUUUUUCACUCUCUUCCUCACUAAAUCCACCACAACAACACCUUCACCACAAAACACUCUUGUAGCAAAUCUUCUACCGUUAACAGUCCACUGUUUCACUAAAAACAUCUUCACUCGUGCAAAUAUCUCUACUCUAAUCGAUAACCGUCUUUCCAGAAGCGUCAACAAAUCCAAAUCUAAAGCUAUAGAAGACGAUAUUGUUGGUUCGAGUUUUGGUUUUGGUGAAAUGCGUGGUAAUGGAACGAUGGUUGGAGUGGUGGGUUUAGUGGGUAGAAGUAAAGUUUCGGUUUUUGAGAAAGGUGAAGUGAAGAAGAAGAAGAAGAAGAAGAUGGUGAAAGGGUGUGAUUUGAGUAAAGGGUAUUGGGUUUUUGAUGAAAGGUAUACUCUUUAUGGUGGAGCUUCUUAUCCUUUUGUUGAUGAAGGUUUUGAUUGUGAGGGGAAUGGAAGAUUGGAUAGAAAUUUUACUAAGUGGAGAUGGCAACCUCAAUAUUGUGACCUUCCAAGUGUUGCGUCGGUUCAUACAAGGUAAAGGACUAGCUUCAAUUGGCCCCCCUACAUUGUUCUUCUGGAUUAGUCGGUCUUAAAGAGAGACUUUUUACUAUUAGGAGUAACAUAUGUGAAGUUAGUAGCAAAGGUGAAGUUAAUUUUAUUCUUUAAGUACUAUUUUUUUGUGUUAUAGAUUCAAUGCAACAAAAAUGUUGGAGUUGAUAAGAGGGAAAAAACUAGUUUUUGUGGGUGAUUAAAUUAAUAGGAACCAAUGGGAAUCAAUGUUGUGCAUGUUAUUGAGUGAUGUUAAAGAUCUACAGAGAGUGUUUGAGGCACGUGGAAGGAAAAUUACCAAAGAGAAAGGGAACUAUAGUUUCAGGUUUCUGGAUUAUCAAUGUACAAUUGAGUACUAUGUAAGUCAUUUUAGUUCAUGAAAGCAAGGUGAGAGUAGGGCAGAAAUGAAGAACGACGCUACGAAUUGAUGUCAUUGAUCACGGUUCGUCCAGAUGGAGAGGAGCUGAUAUUUUGGGUUUCAACAUAAUGGUAUCAUUACAAAACCAAAGCUGGGUUAGUACCUCUCUUAAAUUUCCCAAUUGAAGCCUUGUGCAGCGCUACCUCUCUCUCCUUGCCUUCCUGCAAAUCACAUUUACCUAGCAGGAGGUCUUCAUGAGGGUGCUAAAGUGAUUAAGAAGCAUGCCGCACAACUCUAUACUCUAGUCGAAGAUUGUGACCAACCCGAUUAUGUCAAAUUGGUGAAAGCCCUUUGUGCAGAACAUAAUGUUAGUUUGCUGACAGUUCCAAGUGCAUUGACACUUGGAAAAUGGGAUGGUGAACCUUUUAAUCUUCAAAGGGGUUGGCUUUUGUGAGCUGGAGUUGGACUUGUUGGUGCUCUAGUUUCAAUUGGAUUCACAAGAGUUAAUGUGUCCUUUAGUUGAGAAACCCCACAAAGAGAGGCUCACUCACUAUUGGGUCUGACUUGGGAUAACUUUGUGCUGGUGCAUAUAUUCGGAAACUCAAAUUUAAACGGCG